GUUAUAUGUUCUAACUAACAGAAACCAGAGACAUAAGACCAGAGACCUGAGAUCGGAGACCCGAGACCCGACAGAACCCGGCGGACUACGAGGAGUAGGAGAACUUGGUCAGCAAUUGAAAGGCACAACAUGCAAUCGCGUUGUCUGCCAGCGGCUUUUGUCAAAUUGAAGGUAACAUGGAGAUCCGCAGUCCCCUUGGACCUGGGCCAGACCGAACCGAACCGAACCGAUCCGACCAGGUCGGGGGCACCUUGACAAGCCUAAGCACGUCUUCGACUGGCAAUUGGCCCGAGAUGUUGGCUCAAAGAUGCUGGCUGGAAGCUCACUUCGUGUGGCUUGGCUGAUUGUUUUUUCUCGGCUCUCGGUUUCCACUUCUUGGAUUCUACUUAGACCUCUGGUACUUGUGCAGCUCAAAGGUAUGUGCUAUUUGUGUGAGUGUAUGUAACAGAUUGAAGAAUCUAUCAUAUAUUUAGUGAAGGGU
rnacentral:sRNA from 1 species